rnacentral:rRNA from 1 species
GAUGAACGCUAGCGGCAGGCCUAACACAUGCAAGUCGAGGGGUAGAAGUUGCUUGCAACUUUGAGACCGGCGCACGGGUGCGUAACGCGUAUGCAAUCUGCCUUGUACUGAGGGAUAGCCCAGAGAAAUUUGGAUUAAUACCUCAUAGUAUUAUGGUGUGGCAUCACAUUAUAAUUAAAGUUCCAACGGUACAAGAUGAGCAUGCGUCCCAUUAGUUAGUUGGUAAGGUAACGGCUUACCAAGACGAUGAUGGGUAGGGGUCCUGAGAGGGAGAUCCCCCACACUGGUACUGAGACACGGACCAGACUCCUACGGGAGGCAGCAGUGAGGAAUAUUGGUCAAUGGACGCAAGUCUGAACCAGCCAUGCCGCGUGAAGGAUGAAGGCGUUCUGCGUUGUAAACUUCUUUUAUCAGGGAAGAAACCUCAGUAUUCUUAUUGAGCCGACGGUACCUGAUGAAUAAGCACCGGCUAACUCCGUGCCAGCAGCCGCAGUAACAC